ACGCUGGCGGCGUGCCUAAUACAUGCAAGUCGAACGCUGGAGAUCUAGCUUGCUAGAUCGAAGGAGUGGCGAACGGGUGAGUAAUACAUAAGCAACCUACCCACGAAGACUGGGAUAAUCUCUGGAAACGGGGACUAAUACCGGAUAGGUAAUCGGAAGGCAUCUUCUGAUUAUUAAAGGUUAAAAACACUGGUGGAUGGGCUUAUGGCGCAUUAGUUAGUUGGUGAGGUAACGGCCCACCAAGACGAUGAUGCGUAGCCGGCCUGAGAGGGUGAACGGCCACAUUGGGACUGAGACACGGCCCAGACUCCUACGGGAGGCAGCAGUAGGGAAUUUUCGGCAAUGGGGGAAACCCUGACCGAGCAACGCCGCGUGAGUGAUGACGGCCUUCGGGUUGUAAAGCUCUGUUGUAAGGGAAGAACGGUAGAUAGAGAAUAUCUAAGUGACGGUACCUUACCAGAAAGCCACGGCUAACUACGUGCCAGCAGCCGCGGUAAUACGUAGGUGGCGAGCGUUAUCCGGAAUUAUUGGGCGUAAAGGGUGCGUAGGCGGCCUGUUAAGUAAGUGGUUAAAUUGUUGGGCUCAACCCAAUCCAGCCACUUAAACUGGCAGGCUAGAGUAUUGGAGAGGCAAGUGGAAUUCCAUGUGUAGCGGUAAAAUGCGUAGAUGUAUGGAGGAACACCAGUGGCGAAGGCGGCUUGCUAGCCAAAGACUGACGCUCAUGCACGAAAGCGUGGGGAGCAAAUAGGAUUAGAUACCCUAGUAGUCCACGCCGUAAACGAUGAAUACUAAGUAUUGGGGAAACUCAGUGCUGUAGCUAACGCAAUAAGUAUUCCGCCUGUGGAGUAUGCACGCAAGUGUGAAACAUAAAGGAAUUGACGGGGGCCCGCACAAGCGGUGGAGUAUGUGG
rnacentral:rRNA from 1 species